CCGGGACAGUUCCCAGCGGGCCGGGCCGUGGCCAUGGAGCUGCCCCCGGGACAGUUCCCAUCCCGCCGGGCCGCAGCCGUGGCCGUGGCGUUCCUGCGGUACCGGCGGGGCGGCCCCGCCCGGGCGCUGCGGCUGCGGGAGCUGCGCCGGGCGCGCACCGAGGACAUCAAGGAUGUUGGGCACAAGUACUACCUGGAACUGGAGCUGGAAGAUGUCCUGGACAAAGACAGUACUGUUAACUGCACUGCUGAGGUUCUGUAUCAUCUGGGCAACAAAAACAUUGCUCCAGAUGUGCAGUUCACACUUGAAGGAGAACUAAAGAGCACAGAGGAAGCAGAUCACGUGUUCUACACUCGAAUCAGGAGCCUGGAAAAAGAGCUUGUGGCAGAGAACAUCCCAGACAGCCAUGGCCACGUGCCCCCAGAGCUGGAGCCCCUCCACCUGCUGGCCUGGGUCGCCUCGGGAUACCUGGUGUGGCAGAAUUCCACAGAAAACACCCAGCUCCAGCUGGCCCAAAUCAAACAUGUGAAGCAGGUGAGGAGAAGUGAUGAAUAUCUGCAGUUUGACUUCGUGGUUCUGCUGCACGAAAUGGUGUCCCAGGUAAAUAUUGCAUUUCUAAAAAGCCUUUUUUGUUGUUGUUUGAAGCCUGGCAGCUCUGCAGGCACACACAUGGUGGGGUGGACACAGAGGGUGAGGUCAGGGCCACCUUCCCUGUCCAUCCCAGCAUUCCAGGACACAACAGCAGCAAUUUCCAGCUGUUUCUGGGCUUUCCUGGGAAUGGCUGCGGUUCAAAACACUGGUGCUUCCCAGCUCUUUCCUCCUGGGAGAUCCCAGUGCCAAACUGGGUGGGGAUCAAGGGAAGCAGCAGCAUCCUGGAGUGCUCAGCAGAAUUCCAGGGGGCUGGGAAUGCUCCCAUGCCAGAGGACAGCACAGAGACCUCACCUAUCCCAGUAACUCCCAGCACAAACUGGUUCCCAGCAGUUUCCACACUUUGAGCUAUUCUCCAUCACAAUUUUGUGAUCUGAGCAAGUGUUUUCAUCAGGAAAACACAGAAAAUGGGAGAGAGAAGUUCCUGAUUGUGCAACCUCCUGGAAAAACCACCCAGGGAUCUCCCUCCCAGCUCCAGCUCCGCUGCUUCCAACCCCUGCACUCUCAAAGUUUUAAAUUAACAGAAUUCUAUGGAUUCCCCCAGUUUUUCUGUGUGUUUGGAGAAGAUAGACUGUGAGUUAAGAGUAACUCCUAAAGUGAUGGUCAGCUUUAAAUUUAAGCCAAGGUCAGCCUUAAAUUCAAAUCUAAACCAAGGUCAGCCUUAAAUUCCAGCCAAGUUCACUCGGGGCACCUGCAGUGGGUUUGGUUCCUGAGUUUUCCAUGAAGAGAAAUUCCAGACUAACCAAGAGGACGGAAGCCCAGCUUGUUCCCUGUUGUC